GCACUAUAACCAUUUCAUCACACUGUCCCUCCCUUCAGGGUUAAACCAUUUUCAAGCAGUUUAUGAAUGAGGGUCCCUGUCUUCUAAUAGCCCCACCCACACUGGAGGUGUGGCUAAGGCACAGAUUACACACUUCCUUGUAGCCAUAAUGAUUCAUCCUUUGUACAGCGCUACGGAAUCUGAUGGCGCUAUAUAAAUAAUAAAAUAAUAAUAAUACCAGCAAUGCUAUUGUGAUAAGCUUAAAUAAGUCAUCUGAAACUCUCAGCCAUUCACAGUUACCAGCUG